GUGCUCACUUCAGCAGCACAUAUACUAUGAUUGGAACGAUACAGAGAAGAUUAGCAUGGCUCCUACAGCAGGAUGACAUGCAAAUUCAUGAAGCAUUCCAUAUAUAU